UACAGAGGUCUCAAGCGUUGUUCGGAUUCAUUGGGCGUAAAGGGUGCGUAGGCGGCGCGGUAAGUCGGGUGUGAAAUCUCGGAGCUUAACUCCGAAACUGCAUUCGAUACUGCCGUGCUUGAGGACUGGAGAGGAGACUGGAAUUUACGGUGUAGCGGUGAAAUGCGCAGAUAUCAGGAGGAACACCGAUGGCGAAGGCAGCUCGCUGGGACGGUACUGACGCUGAGACGCGAAAGCGUGGGUAGCAAACAGG
rnacentral:rRNA from 1 species